rnacentral:rRNA from 1 species
GAUGAACGCUGGCGGCGUGCCUAAUACAUGCAAGUCGAGCGAAUGGAUUAAGAGCUUGCUCUUAUGAAGUUAGCGGCGGACGGGUGAGUAACACGUGGGUAACCUGCCCAUAAGACUGGGAUAACUCCGGGAAACCGGGGCUAAUACCGGAUAACAUUUUGAACCGCAUGGUUCGAAAUUGAAAGGCGGCUUCGGCUGUCACUUAUGGAUGGACCCGCGUCGCAUUAGCUAGUUGGUGAGGUAACGGCUCACCAAGGCAACGAUGCGUAGCCGACCGGAGAGGUGGAUCGGCCACACGGUGACGAGGACACUGCCCAGACUCCUACGGGAGGCAGCAGUAGGGAAUCUUCCGCCAUGGACGAAAGUCUGACGGAGCAACGCCGCGUGAGUGAUGAAGGCUUUCGGGUCGUAAAACUCUGUUGUUAGGGAAGAACAAGUGCUAGUUGAAUAAGCUGGCACCUUGACGGUACCUAACCAGAAAGCCACGGCUAACUACGUGCCAGCCGCCGCGGUAA